GGCAGAAAGAGAAGAGGGAGAGAAUGAGGUGACAGAAAGAGAAGAGGGAGAGAAUGAGGUGGCAGAAAGAGGAGAGUGAGAGAAUGAGGUGGCAGAAAGAGAAGAGGGAGAGAAUGAGGUGACAGACAGAGAAGAGGGAGAGAAUGAGGUGACAGAAAGAGAAGAGGGAGAGAAUGAGGUGACAGACAGAGAAGAGGGAGAGAAUGAGGUGACAGACAGAGAAGAGGGAGAGAAUGAGGUGACAGAAAGAGAAGAGGGAGAGAAUGAGGUGACAGAAAGAGAGAGGGAGAGAAUGAGGUGACAGAAAGAGAAGAGGGAGAGAAUGAGGUGACAGAAAGAGAAGAGAAGAGAAUGAGGUGACAGACAGAGAGAGGGAGAGAAUGAGGUGACAGAAAGAAAAGAGUGAGAGAAGAAAAAUAUUUCAAGACAUGAGAGCAAAGCCAGCGCUGCAUGUUUCAUAUUCGUUUAGUUGAUUUUCAUUUCCUCCUCUCACCUCUCUCUCCUCAACCCCUCUCUCCUCAACCCCUCUUUCCUCAACCCCUCUCUCCUCACCCCUCUCUCCUCACCACCUCUCUCCUCACCACCUCUCUCCUCACCACCUCUCUCCUCAACACCUCUCUCCUCACCAACUCUCUCCUCAC
ensembl:lncRNA